rnacentral:rRNA from 2 species
UGUUGGGUAGGGGAGCGUUCUGUAAGCCUGCGAAGGUGUGCUGUGAGGCAUGCUGGAGGUAUCAGAAGUGCGAAUGCUGACAUAAGUAACGAUAAAGCGGGUGAAAAGCCCGCUCGCCGGAAGACCAAGGGUUCCUGUCCAACGUUAAUCGGGGCAGGGUGAGUCGACCCCUAAGGCGAGGCCGAAAGGCGUAGUCGAUGGGAAACAGGUUAAUAUUCCUGUACUUGGUGUUACUGCGAAGGGGGGACGGAGAAGGCUAUGUUGGCCGGGCGACGGUUGUCCCGGUUUAAGCGUGUAGGCUGGUUUUCCAGGCAAAUCCGGAAAAUCAAGGCUGAGGCGUGAUGACGAGGCACUACGGUGCUGAAGCAACAAAUGCCCUGCUUCCAGGAAAAGCCUCUAAGCAUCAGGUAACAUCAAAUCGUACCCCAAACCGACACAGGUGGUCAGGUAGAGAAUACCAAGGCGCUUGAGAGAACUCGGGUGAAGGAACUAGGCAAAAUGGUGCCGUAACUUCGGGAGAAGGCACGC